UUGAGUUUGAUCCCUGGCUCAGAUUGAACGCUGGCGGCAGGCUUAACACAUGCAAGUCGAGCGGAAACGAUCCUAGCUUGCUAGGAGGCGUCGAGCGGCGGACGGGUGAGUAAUGCAUGGGAAUCUGCCCGAUAGUGGGGGACAACCUGGGGAAACUCAGGCUAAUACCGCAUACGUCCUACGGGAGAAAGCAGGGGAUCUUCGGACCUUGCGCUAUCGGAUGAGCCCAUGUCGGAUUAGCUUGUUGGUGAGGUAAUGGCUCACCAAGGCGACGAUCCGUAGCUGGUCUGAGAGGAUGAUCAGCCACACUGGGACUGAGACACGGCCCAGACUCCUACGGGAGGCAGCAGUGGGGAAUAUUGGACAAUUGGCGAAAGCCUGAUCCAGCCAUGCCGCGUGUGUGAAGAAGGCCUUCGGGUUGUAAAGCACUUUCAGCGAGGAAGAACGCCUUGGGAUUAAUACUCCCGAGGAAAGACAUCACUCGCAGAAGAAGCACCGGCU
rnacentral:rRNA from 1 species